AACGUAGGAGGCGAGCGUUAUCCGGAUUUACUGGGCGUAAAGCGCGCGCAGGCGGCUUCGUAAGUUGGAUGUGAAAGCUCCUGGCUUAACUGGGAGAGGCCAUUCGAAACUGCGGGGCUUGAGGUUGGGAGAGGGGUGCGGAAUUCCCGGUGUAGUGGUGGAAUGCGUAGAUAUCGGGAGGAACACCAGUGGCGAAGGCGGCACCCUGGCCCACACCUGACGCUGAGGUGCGAAAGCGUGGGUAGCAAACAGG
rnacentral:rRNA from 1 species